rnacentral:lncRNA from 1 species
ACUUGCAGGUCCCCUAAUCCCAGCUUGCUCUCUCUUCCUUUCCUUCCCCUCCCCCAGGAAAGGACUCCUACGAGGGUCGUGAAUGACGUCCAAAGCAGUGUGACUCUAGUCUUCUUUUUGAAUUAAUGUAAUUCUGGAACCUCAAUUUUAUUCUGCCUCC